GUAGGCCUGCUCCAGAAACAGAUAUCGCAGUUCUGUAAACUGCAUCCGUAAGAGCAUCCAAAGUGGACAAAUAUUAUAUUUCAAUUUAUAUCUUGAGUUAAUUUUUUACAUUAUUUA
rnacentral:lncRNA from 1 species